rnacentral:rRNA from 1 species
ACUGAAUAGAUACCCGGGUAGUCCACGCUGUAAACGAUGAUUACUCGAUGUUGGCGAUACACAGUCAGCGUCUGAGCGAAAGCAAUAAGUAAUCCACCUGGGGAGUACGAUCGCAAGAUUGAAACUCAAAGGAAUUGACGGGGGCCCGCACAAGCGGAGGAGCAUGUGGUUUAAUUCGAUGAUACGCGAGGAACCUUACCUGGGCUCGAACGUAAGAUGACUGUAGGUGAAAGCUUACAUCUCUUCGGAGCAUUUUACGAGGUGCUGCAUGGUUGUCGUCAGCUCGUGCCGUGAGGUGUCGGGUUAAGUCCCAUAACGAGCGCAACCCCUACCUUUAGUUGCCAACAGGUCAUGCUGGGGACUCUAAAGGAACUGCCUACGCAAGUAGUGAGGAAGGCGGGGAUGACGUCAAAUCAGCACGGCCCUUACGUCCAGGGCUACACACGUGCUACAAUGGCCGAUACAGAGGGCAGCUACCUGGUGACAGGAUGC